rnacentral:sRNA from 1 species
GCCGGGCAUGGUGGCACAUGCCUGUAAUCCCAGCUACUUGGGAGGCUGAGGCAGGAGAUUCGUUUGAACCCGGGAGGUCUAGGUUGUGGUGAGCUGAGAUCGUGCCACUGCACUCCAGCCUGGGCAACAAGAGUGAAACUCUGCCUCAA